UACGUAGGGGGCAAGCGUUGUCCGGAUUUAUUGGGCGUAAAGAGCGUGUAGGCGGCCAUACAGGUCCGUUGUGAAAACUGGAGGCUCAACCUCCAGACGUCGACGGAAACCGUAUGGCUAGAGUCCGGAAGAGGAGAGUGGGAAUUCCUGGUGUAGCGGUGAAAUGCGCAGAUAUCAGGAAGAACACCCGUGGCGAAGGCGGCUCUCUGGGACGGUACUGACGCUGAGACGCGAAAGCGUGGGGAGCGAACAGG
rnacentral:rRNA from 1 species